rnacentral:rRNA from 1 species
AUUGAACGCUGGCGGCAGGCCUAACACAUGCAAGUCGAACGAGUGGCGGACGGGUGAGCAAUGUCUGGGAAACUGCCUGAUGGAGGGGGAUAACUACUGGAAACGGUAGCUAAUACCGCAUACCAUCAGAUGUGCCCAGAUGGGAUUAGCUUGUUGGUGGGGUAACGGCUCACCAAGGCGAAGAUCCCUAGCUGGUCUGAGUGGAUGACUAGCCACAAUGGGACGGGGACACGGGCCAGACUCCUACGGGAGGCAGCAGUGGGGAAUAUUGCACAAUGGGCGCAAGCCUGAUGCAGCCAUGCCGCGUGGAUGAAGAAGGCCUUCGGGUUGGAAAGUACUUUCAGCGGGGAGGCGUUACCCGCAGAAGAAGCACCGGCUAACUCCGUGCCAGCCGCCGCGGUAAUUC